UUUGGAACAAUACAGAGGAGAUUAGCAUGGUUCCUGCCCAAGGGUGACAUGCAAAUUAGUGAAGCAUUCCUUAUUAAA
rnacentral:snRNA from 1 species